GUUGGUAAAUACUACUACCACUACUGCAUUUUCUAUAUAAAUAAAACUUCGAGUCUGGAAAGAGGGUGAACAUCUGUCUUUGCUGCUGUAUUUUUUUUAGGCGGGGGAAGACACUCUAAUUUUCUUUUAGCAGUUCCCACGUCCGUCCCAGGGAGAAAAUAUUAGCGCCAAGAGGAACCGGAAGUUUCUUCUUCAGGUCUCCUGUUGCUGGCUUGGCUCUCUUCAACCUUGACUAUGCACCUGCCUUGAUCCUUAUUUGCUUGAACUCAAUCCCUGGCCUGUCUUGGACCAUGCACUCACCCAAGGAUUUGACCCUUCAGAAAGAUGUCUGGGGGGUGCAUGCACACGCAAAGCCAAGUAGCAGCGUGAGAAGAUCGCUCCAGUCCCCACCGCACUACCGCUGCAAAUACUGACACCCCCGUGUUAAAUAUCUUGAUUUUUUAAACAACCACUGGCAAACGAACUAACAAAGCAUGCUCCAGAUUAUAAACGGAGGCUUGGCAGUCUCAUUUAGAGACACUAGUUUAAGAUUUUGGAAACAGCCCCUAUCGUGAUUACAAAAUGGUGGCAAAAGUUGAGAAAAUGGGGCAAGGGGAAAUGGUGUCCUAUGAUCUUGAAACCUUGCUUGAAACUAUAAUGGAGCGGCUACAAAAAUGCACUCAUUGUUAAUUGCUGAAUGGCAAAAAGCCUUUGACUCAACAAAAGAAACGUUAGAAAAAUUAACGCAGAAAACUAUGGCCAUUGAAACAACAGCAAAUGAAGCUAUGGAACUAAGCAUAAAAAAGCUGACAAAAUCCAAAAACUUUUAAAAGUCAAUAAGGAUCUGCAAAUAAAGGUGGAUGAACAGGAGAACAGAGGAAGACGUUGGAAUGUACACUUUCAUGGGGUCCCUGAAGAUAAAGAACAGGGAGACAUUAUUUCAUUUCUUACAACAUGGUGGUCUACAGCAAUCCCUGAAAUUCUUAUAGCAGCAUUAGACUUGGAACGAGCCCAUCGUAGCUUAGCUCCCAAAUCCAGAGCUCCUGCAAGGCCACGAGAUAUUAUAGUGGCUUUUGUUCAUUUUCAACUCAAAGAUAGAUUUAUGAAAGCCAUGAGAGACAAAGGAGGUCUGAAAUAUGAGAAUGAAGCAAUCAUGGUCCUUCAGGAUCUGAGUACAGAGACUCUUGAGGAAAAGAUGUGACUUGAGACCAGCAACAGAGAAGUUACAGGCUGCAAACAUCAAAUAUCGCUGGGGGUUCCCAUUUCAUCUUUGUGUUGAAUUAGAUGGCAUGUUACACACAGCUACCACAAAACAAGAAGCUUGCCAUAUUCUUCGCUUAUUAUAUAUAGGAAUCCCAUGGGAUUUGGAGGAAUUAGACAAAGAAGAAGAUGCAUUAGAAUCUCAAGAUACUGAAAGAUGGAAUAUGGUCUCAUCUAAAAAGAAAUGACUCAGAUUCAACAGACAGAAACAUCUAUCAAUUCUCAUCCUUUAUGU